rnacentral:lncRNA from 1 species
AUGCUGUGUGAGUUUAUAAAAACUGGAAAAUGCUUAUCCACCUGCAGGAAGGCAGAAGGACGUGGGCGUUCCUCCUCUUGGGCACCAAGCAGGAGCCGGGUUCAUACCCCGCACACGGAGGAGUACCAAGCACCCUUAGGGCUUGGGAGCUUUUCCAGCUCGUCUCUUGNNNNNNNNNNUCUAUCCAUCUUCUCAUGGCAGGCCGAGUUCUACUGUGAAUCCGUUGGUUUUUGGGAUCGCUCUGUGGGGAUUCUCCCUGUUGGAAAGUUCUCUUCCCAAACACUUGAUGUUUCCCAAAAUUGUCUGAAUUUUGGAGGGCUUGGGAGCUUUUCCACCUCAUCCCUUGCUGUGGCCAUGGCUUCACCAUCAGUCCCUUCCAACCGCUUGGCAGAUGCUCUGGUUUUAAACCCUUUCCUGCUGCUUCUGGAUCAUACGCCAGGAACCUGACGGAGGUAUUUGGGCAGAGACACCUUGAUUUCUGACAAAAUUCCCUUCCGUUCCCCCAGGGUGGGCUCUUCCCCCACCCCACCUUCCAAAAGGGGGGAAGGAGUAGGAAAAACGUGCUGGCUGCCUUCACCUUUUUCGAAGAGCAACCCCAGAAAUGCACUUUGUGGGGAAGAGGGGGGAGACAUUGCCUUUGUGCCCCCCUCCCAGGGGUUCGUUUAGGUGGGGUGGGGGAGUGCUGCUCACCCCUCCAGCGCAAGGGGAGGUACAAUUAAUGGCGUGAC